AGUGAACGCUGGCGGUAGGCCUAACACAUGCAAGUCGAACGGCAGCACAGUAAGAGCUUGCUCUUACGGGUGGCGAGUGGCGGACGGGUGAGGAAUACAUCGGAAUCUACUUUUUCGUGGGGGAUAACGUAGGGAAACUUACGCUAAUACCGCAUACGACCUACGGGUGAAAGCAGGGGAUCUUCGGACCUUGCGCGAUUGAAUGAGCCGAUGUCGGAUUAGCUAGUUGGCGGGGUAAAGGCCCACCAAGGCGACGAUCCGUAGCUGGUCUGAGAGGAUGGUCGGCCACACUGGAACUGGGACACGGUCCAGGCUCCUACGGGAGGCAGCAGUGGGGAAUAUUGGACAAUGGGCGCAAGCCUGAUCCAGCCAUACCGCGUGGGUGACGAAGGCCUUCGGGUUGUAAAGCCCUUUUGUUGGGAAAGAAAAGCAGCAGGUUAAUACCCCGCUGUUCUGACGGUACCCAAAGAAUAAGCACCGGCUAACUUCGUG
rnacentral:rRNA from 1 species